UACGUAGGGGGCAAGCGUUGUCCGGAUUCAUUGGGCGUAAAGAGCUCGUAGGCGGUCUGUCGCGUCGAUCGUGAAAACUUGGGGCUUAACCCUGAGCUUGCGGUCGAUACGGGCAUGACUGGAGUUCGGCAGGGGAGACUGGAAUUCCUGGUGUAGCGGUGAAAUGCGCAGAUAUCAGGAGGAACACCGGUGGCGAAGGCGGGUCUCUGGGCCGAUACUGACGCUGAGGAGCGAAAGCGUGGGGAGCGAACAGG
rnacentral:rRNA from 1 species